GCGCGCGCCAGGGGGCACUCUCUCCUCUUCAGCUCCCUUGCGCGCCGAGUAGGGAUGCCUGCGCCGGAAGAUGACGUCAUCUUACGGCUCCGGUAUCAGUGUGGUGCGCGAGGGAGCCGAAAAGGAGAGAGUGCUCCCUUGCGCGCGC